UAUCUUCGACCCAUUAUUACAGAUUCAAAAGGCAAGCAUGUUUUCAAAUGACACUGUGCGCUGCCAAUGAUGUAUCAACACCCUAUGCCAUUAUUCUUCUCUAAAUGUGAUAAUAAUGUGAUCUGUUAACAUAAAAAAAAAGUUUGACUCCACAAAAGCAGCUGGAAGUGGACAACCGCAAUAUGCAUAAAUCUAAUUCCUACCAUUAGAUGUGCACUGAUAUAUAUUGUUAAAAGUUCCUCAUAGAUAAGAUUCAUUUUGAGCAAAAUACUUGCACUGGAAUGCAGUUGGUGUGGUACAUGAAUAAAUUUGGGAAUAUUCGUUUUUAGUGGCAAUCCAGAAUUUGUAUGUUUUUUCAUCUCUCUGAGACGUUGAACGGGUUUUGGAACAUAUUGGUGAGAAG
rnacentral:lncRNA from 1 species